rnacentral:lncRNA from 1 species
AGCAGGAAGAAACCCCAGGAGGAAGAAACCUCAGACAGAUCGCCGGGGAGGCAGCGCGGGAUCCCAGCCUCAGGCGUGCGCGGACGGUGUGCGGGUCACAAAGCCUACUGCCUGCUAAUCGGCAAGUGGACCUGUUUCUCUAACAAUGGCCCGAAACUUCACAACAUCAAAGGAGAAAUCAUUGCCAGCAAAAGCAUUUCCGGGUAGUAGGAAAGAAUACAAGUGAAUAACAUUAGUCCAGAAGUUUUAAUAAUAUUCUUUGCUGGUUGAAAUUCAUGUUUAAUAUGAUGUAAAUUACUUGAUAAGCAAAUUAAGAACUAUGCUACUACAGACUCCAAAUAAGACGCAAGAAAAAUGAGAGGAAAUACAUUAAAGGAAAAUCUUAAAAAAACAGCUGCACAGAAGAUAAAUUAUUUUUCCAGGAGUUUUAAACAUAGUUGCUUUUGUUUGUUUGCUUUGCUGUUUUUUCUUAAUUGUUUUAGUAAGCUCAGGCUGCUAUAUAAAAAUAAGAUAGGCGCUGGUCUGAACAAUAGACAUUUAUUUCUUAUAGUUCUUGAACCUGGCAAGUCUGAGGAGGGUCAUCUUCUGGGCUUUCAAAGGGCUGCCUUUUUCCUAUGUACGUACAUAGUGAAUAGAAAGCGUUAGCUCUCUGGUCUCUACCUGUAAGAGCACUAAUCCCAUCAUGAAGACCCCAUCCUUAUGGGCUCAUCUAAACCUAAUUACUUCCAAAGGUCCCACCUCCAAAUGCUAACACAUUGAGAGUUAAGGCUUCAAUAUAUUAAUUUUGGGGAAACAAGACACAGUCCAUAUCAAAUAUAUAUAUAUAUAAUAUAUAUGUAUAAUAUAUAUGUAUACUAUAUAUGUAUAUAAUAUGUAUGUAUAAUAUAUAUACAAAUAUAUAUAAUAUAUAUUACAUAUACCCAAGUAUAUAUAUUAUAUAUAUUUGUAUAUAUAUUAUAUAUAUUUGUAUAUAUAUUAUGUAUGUUAUGUAAUACAACUAUAUACACUCUAAAAAGGCAGUGGAAUAUAGACAUACUUCAAUUGAUUGUGCUUUGCUUCACUUGGCUUCACAGAUAAUGUGUUUUACACAAAUUGAAGGUUUAUGACCACCCUGCAUCAAGCAACUUUAUUGGCACCACUUUGUAAUAGCAUGUGUUCAUUUGUAUCUCUGUGCCAUAUCUAGGUAAAUCUCACAAUAUUUCAAACUUUUUAACUAUAAUUAUAUUUGAUAUGAUAAUCUGUAACCAGUGACCUUUGAUGUUACUAUUGUAAUUGUUUUGGGCACCAUGAACCACAUCCAUAUAUGACAAUGAAUUUAAUCAAUAAAUGUGUGUGUUCUGACUGCUCCACCAACUUAGACAAUUAGUUUUAGAUCUUUUAUUUAGACGAUGAGAAAAUUUAAACUAUAAAUAGGCCAGGUCUGGUGGCUUAUGCCUGGAAUCCCAGCAUUUUGGGAGGCUGAGGUGGGAGGCUCACUGGAGGCCAGGAGUUCAAAACCAGCCUGAGCAACAUAGGGAGACCUCAGCUCUACAACUGAAAAAAAAAUAGCCAGGUGUGGUCAUGGUGGCACCGGUCUGUAUUCCAGCCACUUGGGAGGCUGAGGCAGGAGGUUUGCUUGAGUCCAGGAGUUUGAGGUUGCGGUGAGCUACACAAUGAGCUAUGGUGGCACUACUACACUCCAGCCUGGGCCAUAGAGUAAGGCCCUGUCUCUAACUGGAAGUCCAAAGAGGGAUCUACUUCCAAGACUAUUAAUUUAAUAGAUCAAUAAAUUAAUCAAGAAUAUGAUUUUUUUCUCAUCUUUCUCUGUAGUCAUAUUUUAUACAGACUUUUUGUUUAAGUAAUCUCUCUUUAUGGGCAGACAAUGAUUUCAGAAACACCACAAAUUAUUCUCAAAGAGAAAAGAUGAGGAUUUUUUUUUUUUAGAAAAUGUAACUCUUUUCAGUAGCUCUUGGCAGACCUACCCUCACAUUUUCUUGACUAAAAACAGUCAUUAAAAAAAGUCAGUCACAAACAGGUGAAUUUAAAUUAUCAUGGUUUACCUAUGCUUAACAAGCUUUAUCCUCAGAGGUAAGGAUAGGGUUACUUUCCUGAAUUUUAGAUAUGUGGAAAUAUUUGGAGUUAUGUCAAUAAAUGAAAAAGUGUGAUGGGUAUAGUGCUUGCCAUGGAAUAUACCAAAUACAGAUAUUCUGAAAACUUUAAGUUCAGUAAUAUGCCAGGGGUUCCCAAGACCAUUUGAGACCUGGUAAUUUAUUGGAAGUCUCUAAGGGAAUCAGAAGCUGUAGUACUCAUUGUUACAGUAUAUUACAGUAAAAACAGUACAGAUAGAAGUCAGCUAAGAGAAAAGACAAAUGAAGUGAACUCCAGGAGAAACCAAGUCCAAGCUCUCAGGUGUCCCCUCCCAGAGCAGUUGCAUGGGGACAUGUUUAAUUAUCCCAACAACAAUAUGUAAAGUACAAAGCAUUGCCAACCAGGAACACUCGCUGGAGCCUAGUUGUCGAAGGUGUUUACUGGGAUCAGUCGCAUAGUCAUGUAAUGCCCAUAUGAUUGACCUCAGCUCCAUGACAUUUAAGCACAACUUUCUUCCUACACCCAGAGUAAAAACAGAUGUUCACAUAAGUCACGUUGAUAACAUAACCUUUUCUGGUCGAACUGGGAGAGUAUGGCCCAAGACUUCAGGAAAACAAGAACACUUUUAUCAAGCAAAAUACUCCAAGGGCUCAGAGAUGAACUCCUAGUCUAAGGUCUAGUCCUGCAGAGGGACCCCUCUUUGGAAUGUAUAGUAUUUGAGCAAUUCAGGCCAGUCAAGUUAAACCUUUUCACCCAUGCCUAAAUGCUAUUUAAUAAAUGUAAAUAACAACGAUGAGAUAGUUUAUUAAACAUUUUUAUUGAAAUACACAAAUAGUAUAUAGUUAAUUAAUUUUAACAAAGUGAUUGUACAUAUUUCACAAUAAAAUUCCCUUAAAUUACCAUCUGCUCCAUCUGCAAGUAAUUAUUAUUCUGAUUGCUAAUAACAUAGACUUUUUUUAACCUAUUUUUGAACUUUUAUAAUAGAAUUAAACAAUAUAUAUUCUUUUCUGGAUGGCUUCUGUUACUCAGAAAUGUAUUUAGGAGAGUCAUCAAAGCUCUCUUGGGUAUACCAUUUAUCCUUCUUGCUUGAUAAUACUCCAUGUAUGUAUAUAUAUGCUAUGAUGUGUUUAUUUUACUCUUGAUGGAUAACUGCAAAACUUCCAAUUUAA